rnacentral:rRNA from 1 species
UACGGAGGGAGCUAGCGUUGUUCGGAAUUACUGGGCGUAAAGCGCACGUAGGCGGCUUUGUAAGUUAGAGGUGAAAGCCUGGAGCUCAACUCCAGAACUGCCUUUAAGACUGCAUCGCUUGAAUCCAGGAGAGGUGAGUGAAAUUCCGAGUGUAGAGGUGAAAUUCGUAGAUAUUCGGAAGAACACCAGUGGCGAAGGCGGCUCACUGGACUGGUAUUGACGCUGAGGUGCGAAAGCGUGGGGAGCAAACAGG